rnacentral:rRNA from 1 species
GAUGAACGCUGGCGGCGUGCCUAACACAUGCAAGUCGAGCGAACAGACGAGGAGCUUGCUCCUCUGACGUUAGCGGCGGACGGGCGAGUAACACGUGGAUAACCUACCUAUAAGACUGGGAUAACUUCGGGAAACCGGAGCUAAUACCGGAUAAUAUAUUGAACCGCAGGGUUCAAUAGUGAAAGACGGUUUUGCUGUCACUAAUAGAUGGAUCCGCGCCGCAUUAGCUAGUUGGUAAGGUAACGGCUUACCAAGGCAACGAUGCGUAGCCGACCUGAGAGGGUGAUCGGCCACACUGGAACUGAGACACGGUCCAGACUCCUACGGGAGGCAGCAGUAGGGAAUCUUCCGCAAUGGGCGAAAGCCUGACGGAGCAACGCCGCGUGAGUGAUGAAGGUCUUCGGAUCGUAAAACUCUGUUAUUAGGGAAGAACAAAUGUGUAAGUAACUAUGCACGUCUUGACGGUACCUAAUCAGAAAGCCACGGCUAACUACGUG